GAUGAACGCUGGCGGCGUGCCUAAUACAUGCAAGUCGAGCGAACAGAUGAGGAGCUUGCUCCUCUGACGUUAGCGGCGGACGGGUGAGUAACACGUGGAUAACCUACCUAUAAGACUGGGAUAACUUCGGGAAACCGGAGCUAAUACCGGAUAAUAUAUUGAACCGCAUGGUUCAAUAGUGAAAGACGGUUUUGCUGUCACUUAUAGAUGGAUCCGCGCCGCAUUAGCUAGUUGGUAAGGUAACGGCUUACCAAGGCAACGAUGCGUAGCCGACCUGAGAGGGUGAUCGGCCACACUGGAACUGAGACCCGGUCCAGACUCCUACGGGAGGCAGCAGUAGGGCAUCUUCCGCCAUGGGCGAAAGCCUGACGGAGCAACGCCGCGUGAGUGAUGAAGGUCUUCGGAUCGUAAAACUCUGUUAUUAGGGAAGAACAAAUGUGUAAGUAACUAUGCACGUCUUGACGGUACCUAAUCAGAGAGCCACGGCUAACUACG
rnacentral:rRNA from 1 species